rnacentral:rRNA from 1 species
ACUGGGCAUAAAGCGUGCGUAGGCGGAUGAUUAAGUCAGAUGUGAAAUACCAGGGCUCAACCCUGGGGCUGCAUUUGAUACUGGUUAUCUAGAGUGCAGGAGAGGAGAGCGGUAUUCCUAGUGUAGCGGUGAAAUGCGUAGAGAUUAGGAAGAACACCAGUGGCGAAGGCGGCUCUCUGGACUGCAACUGACGCUGAGGCACGAAAGCGUGGGGAGCAAACAGGAUUAGAUACCCUGGUAGUCCACGCUGUAAACGAUGAAUACUAGGUGUCGGGGGUUUACCCUCGGUGCCGCAGUUAACGCGUUAAGCAUCCCGCCUGGGGAGUACGGUCGCAAGGCUGAAACUCAAAUGAAUUGACGG